rnacentral:rRNA from 1 species
UACGGAGGGUGCAAGCGUUAUCCGGAUUUACUGGGUUUAAAGGGUGCGUAGGUGGGUCUGUAAGUCAGUGGUGAAAUCUCCGAGCUUAACUCGGAAACUGCCAUUGAUACUAUAGGUCUUGAAUUAUCUGGAGGUGAGCGGAAUAUGUCAUGUAGCGGUGAAAUGCUUAGAUAUGACAUAGAACACCAAUUGCGAAGGCAGCAGGCUAAACGUAAAUUGACGCUGGAGGCCCGAAAGCGUGGGGAUCAAACAGG